CUCGUGUUUAGUUUAGGUUUAAUUCUGCCCGUGUAAAGUCCGUGUUUGCUAGUCUGCAUCUUUGUUUAUUGUUUCCUGUUUUAUUUUGAAAGGUUAUGUACUAUGCCAGUGUGUCCAGCUUCGCUCCCCCUGUCUCGUUAGCCCUGAUCUCUCCCAGCUCUGUCUCCCUCCUGUCUUCCAUUCCCUGAUUACUUCCCUGUGUAUAUUAGCCCUGUGAUUGCCCUUGCUUAGUGUUGUGUUGUACCCUCUCUUCUUCUGUGUGUUCUGUUUGCCAGCCUGCUAACCCGGCUAGUUAUUCUGUACUCCCAGUUUAGUUAGUGUUUUUCUGUUCUGCUUCCUCCCAGCAAUAAAGCUGUGUAUUUUGAAGUUUCUUCCACCUCCUUGAGUCCUGCAUUUUGGGUCCUCUCUUCCUGCCUGCCUACACACAGACAUGACACAGACACCCUGUAUUUUUCCUCACUACUACACAUCAGCCCUUGCGAGCACAACGCUUCGUUCAGCAGAACUGACAGCAAAGCUAACAGUGUUCUUUUUUUUUUUAACAUGGACUUCAUAUAUGCCUGAUUUUUAAGAGCUCGUCACAACGGGACAGCAUACAUUUCACAUACACAAGGAUCACAAGCCUAUAUAGGGCAAACUACACCCCUAAAAAACACAGGGGUCAAAAAGCUGUCCAGAAAUAUCUACAGCAGCGGGAGCAAUAACACCAAGCCUUACAUUAGCAAUCACACAACCCCUUCCCACGAUGCGGACCAUGAAGACCCCUUGAUGCUUUUGGAAUAUAUACGCGAUAUUGAACUCCCAGAACAACAAGAAAAACCACAAGCUUUGUGCAACAAUGGAGACUCAGAACCAUUCUUCAUCACCGGACCAUACAUGCACGCGAGUGCCUGCCUUGUGAUUUCAGCGAUGUUUCUGAGUACAGCCUAUCAGAGUUCAAUAUAGUUGACAUACCCACCACGCCAGAAUGUCUCAGAAACAACAGUGGUACAGACAUAGGUUUUGAAGAAGGCUGCAUAACAGACUCGCAAAUAUCACAGGCAUAUGACGCAUACUUAAAUGCAGCAAACACCUCUACUUUUGAUCAGAGCCAUUCUGCUUCAAACAACGAUAUACUAUCUUUGAUCGAUGCUAAACUCAGCCAACAUCAACAAGCAGUACAGAGGGAUGUGCAAGAAAUAGCAGCUAAAGUCAACCAACAUCAAGAAGCAGCACAGGGGGACUUGCAAUUAAUAGCAGUGGCUCUAACUAGUACCCAGCAGGCAAUAAACAAUACCUGGGAUUUAUUAGAUCUCAUUAGUACCAGAUUGUUAAAUCGCUGACUUUUAAAGUCUACACCAUGGACCCACCCCGUAAAUUAUUCAAACACAAUGAUGGUACCUCCACUCGAGCUAAAUGGUUUCACUUUGAGGCUUUUAACCAGUGGGCUGCGCAAAUAAUAAACAAAUGCGAAGUUUUGCAUGCAAGACUUAGUAGUGUCGCUGUAGCAAACAGUCCUGUCUAAUGCACGUCCUUGUCCAACUCAUUCUGAAGCUGUUGCUGAUGAUGCUGUUUAUAUCGAUGCUGUUGCUCAUGCAACCGAUUCACAUCCGGAUAUGCCUAUUGUCACGGCUGUUGCUGCCGCUGCUGUAGGGACUGUUGUUACUCAGGCUACCGCUGAUUGUCUUAUUGCUGAGGCUUCUGUCACAGCUGAUCGGGAGUGUGCACCUGGCGUACAUGCGUAUCUGGGUGCUGCUGCAGCUGCUGCUGACGCAUCACCACACAACCCCUCAAACAAUGGAAAUUCCAAAAGUGUUAACCAUUCACAAACAGGUGCUGCAGUAUUCGAGCCCAUUGUUCAGUCUGGGGCGGGCAGUUAGUCAGCGUAGCAUUAGAGAGAUACCUAAUUUCAACGCCCGAGAAUUGCGUGAGUGCCUUGAUUUUAGGGACAUAAGUCUUGAUGAUCCAGAACAAGUGUCAGAAAGAGUUAAAAGCUGCCAAUGUGAUAGAGCUGUGGCUGGAUCUCAGCAGGGUUGUGUUCUAAAUGUGGUCCUGCGUGGACCCUCGUUGGCUUCAGAUGUUCAAGCUGUUUUAAAUCCUGAUGAUCAAUAUGACCCUGACCUGUUUCUCGACCAAAUAGCUCAAGUUAUGCAAAGGAAUGACGAAUCUAUCGGUGAUGGUGAAUUAGUUUAUUGUCAUGGUUGCGCAAAACAGUAGCGGUGGCGGCGGUGCUAUAAUCCGCAGGAUUUGUGGAGUGUUCUGAUGGUGAGAGAUAGCAAACCACAGAUCGUUCUAUUGAGAGAUAUGGAGCCGGAGAGGUUCUGUCGUGUGGGAGUAUUUUCGGUUGAUUUUGGUCAGUUUUGGUUGGUGUUGGGAUUCAGAGAUUCUUUUAUUGCUACCAUAUAAUCUGCCUUAUGAUAAAUGCAUUAAGAACAUGUUUUACAGCAUUAUUUUAUCAGUAAUAU